rnacentral:rRNA from 1 species
UAAUACAGAGGGUGCGAGCGUUGUUCGGAAUUACUGGGCGUAAAGCGUGUGUAGGCGGCUUAUUAAGCUUGAUGUGAAAUCUUUGGGCUUAACCCAAAAACUGCAUCGAGAACUGGUAAGCUAGAGUCUAGGAGAGGGCAGUGGAAUUCCUGGUGUAGAGGUGAAAUUCGUAGAUAUCAGGAGGAACACCGGUGGCGAAGGCGGCUGCCUGGACUAGUACUGACGCUGAGACACGAAAGCGUGGGGAGCAAACAGG